rnacentral:rRNA from 1 species
GACGAACGCUGGCGGCGUGCCUAAUACAUGCGAGUUGAGCGAUGAAGAUUGGUGCUUGCACCAAUUUGAAGAGCAGCGAGCGGGUGAGUAACGCGUGGGGAAUCUGCCUUUGAGCGGGGGACAACAUUUGGAAACGAAUGCUAAUACCGCAUAACAACUUUAAACAUAAGUUUUAAGUUUGAAAGAUGCAAUUGCAUCACUCAAAGAUGAUCCCGCGUUGUAUUAGCUAGUUGGUGAGGUAAAGGCUCACCAAGGCGAUGAUACAUAGCCGACCUGAGAGGGUGAUCGGCCACAUUGGGACUGAGACACGGCCCAAACUCCUACGGGAGGCAGCAGUAGGGAAUCUUCGGCAAUGGACGAAAGUCUGACCGAGCAACGCCGCGUGAGUGAAGAAGGUUUUCGGAUCGUAAAACUCUGUUGGUAGAGAAGAACGUUGGUGAGAGUGGAAAGCUCAUCAAGUGACGGUAACUACCCAGAAAGGGACGGCUAACUACGUG